UGCCAGCAGCCGCGGUAAUACGGAGGGUGCGAGCGUUAAUCAGAACAUACUGGGCGUAAAGCGCGCGUAGGCGGUUUGGUAAGUCGGAUGUGAAAGCCCUGGGCUCAACCUGGGAAUUGCAUUCGAUACUGCCAGACUAGAGUCUGGGAGAGGGAUGCGGAAUUCCGGGUGUAGCGGUGAAAUGCGUAGAUAUCCGGAGGAACAUCAGUGGCGAAGGCGGCAUCCUGGACCAAGACUGACGCUGAUGUGCGAAAGCGUGGGGACCAAACGUAAUUCCGCA
rnacentral:rRNA from 1 species